rnacentral:SRP_RNA from 1 species
CGUCAGGGCCCAUGGAUUGUGGACUUACGAACCCCGCCAGGGCAGGAAUGCAGCAACGGUAGUUUGCUC